rnacentral:rRNA from 1 species
AGAGUUUGAUCCUGGCUCAGCCUGAACGCUGGCGGCAUGGCUAAAACAUGCAAGUCGAGGGAGAAGGGGACUUCGGUCCCCGGACACCGGCGAAAGGGCGAGUAAUACGAUCGAACGUGCCCCGAGGUAGAGGAUAGCUGUGGGAAACUGCAGGUAAUACUCUAUAAGUUCCAAGGAAGAAAGCUCCGGCGCCUUGGGAGCGGCGAUCGUCCUAUCAGGUUGUUGGUGGGGUAAAAGCCUACCAAGCCGAAGACGGGUAGCGGGUGUGAGAGCAUGGCCCGCCGCAUCGGAACUGAGACACUGUCCGGACUCCUACGGGAGGCUGCAGUAACGAAUCUUCCGCAAUGCGCGAAAGCGUGACGGAGCAAUGCCGCGUGUGGGAUGAAGCGGUUACGCCGUGUAAACCACUGUCAGGACUUAGGAAGAACUGACCGAGUCCAAAGGAAGGGCCGGCUAAUCUCGUGCCAGCAGCCGCGGUAAUACGAGAGGCCCGAGCGUUAGGCGGAAUCACUGGGCUUAAAGGGUGCGUAGGCGGAUCAGUAAGCAUUUUGUGAAAUCCCUCGGCUCAACCGAGGAAUUGCAGAGUGAACUGCUGAUCUUGAGGUAGGCAGAGGUCAUCGGAACGUACGGUGGAGCGGUGAAAUGCGUAGAUAUCGUACGGAACGCCGAAGGGGUAGCCAGGUGACUGGGCCUUACCUGACGCUGAGGCACGAAAGCGUGGGGAUCAAACAGGAUUAGAUACCCUGGUAGUCCACGCCGUAAACGAUGUGCACUAGUUUGGUGGAGAUCUGACUCUCUGCCAGACGCCGAGAAAUCAUUAAGUGCACCGCCUGGGGAGUACGGUCGCAAGGCUAAAACUCAAAGGAAUUGACGGGGGCUCACACAAGCGGUGGAGGAUGUGGCUUAAUUCGAGGCUACGCGAAGAACCUUAUCCUAGUCUUGACAUGUUUAAGAAUACUCCUGAAAGGGAGUAGUGCCUUCGGGAACUUUUACACAGGUGCUGCAUGGCUGUCGU